AGCUAUCGAAUCCUUUCUUCUUCAGUAGAUACAAAGCAGCGGAGCGGCGGUAGGGUUUGUUCCUCGCCCUCAGGGACCAUAAAGAAACAUUGGAAUGAUGGAGAGCAGUAAAAAGGGCAAGGAAGAAAAAGAGAUACAAGGAAAUGCAGUUCUCCCACAAGAUGUGGUGGAGGAGAUUCUUUUAAGACUACCUGUUAAGUCACUGUUGCGAUUCAAGUGCGUAUGCAAAAGCUGGUGUGCUCUAAUUAAGAGCCCUCGUUUCCAGAGCAAGCAAAUCCAAAGUACAACUGAGAAUAGCCCUCUUCUAAUUCUUAAUGGACGUGCUUUUGAUGUUGACGAUCAUGACCUCUACACUGUAGAUUAUGGUUCCUCUAACCAAGUAAGGAAACUAGAUUUCCCAUUCGAUUCAUUUGCGAAAUUUUUUGAUCGGGUUGAUGUUGUUGGUUCAUGUAAUGGUUUGGUAUGCUUGGCUUUCUCUGAUGGGCAGUAUUGUUGGGACACUAUUUGUUUGUGGAAUCCAGCUACUAGAGAACAAAAGUUCCUUCCAACGAUUUAUUCCACUUCCCAUUAUGUUUCUAUGGGAUUUUGUUUUGAUCCCAUUGUCAAUGAGUAUAAAGUGGUAAGAGUUGUUUACCUCUCCAACCCAUUUGCGUCGAACACUGAUGUGUUAAAGUCGGAUGUGAGGGUGUAUACACUUGGCUCUGAUGAGUGGAGAAGAAUUGGAGAUAUUCCUUACCAUAUUGAUGAUAGAGUGUCAAUGGCAAUUGUGAGUGGAGCUGUUCAUUGGACAGCAAGUUACACUUACCCAUGUAGAAUGUCUGAAUUAGUCAUUUCUUUCGAUAGUGCACAAGAGAUGUUCAGAGAGUUACCACAACCGGAUUAUGGAUACAGCAAUGAGAAGUUUAUCAAGCAUGUUGGGGUUCUGGGCGGAUGCCUCUCUAUUUUUUGUCAUUUCUCAAUUGAACGUGUUGAGAUAUGGGUGAUGAAGGACUAUGGCUUGAAAGAGUCUUGGAUUAAGCAGUUUGUUAUUGGAGCACCAACAAUAUCUGGGUUUUUCUAUAUACGGCCGUUGGGACUUUGGAAGAGUGAUGAAAUUCUAUUGGAGAAAGAUGAAAGGUUGCUGGUUCUGUAUGACACAAAAAGUAAGAGAGGGAGGGAGCGUAGAAUUCUGGGGCUUCCACAGAGGUUUUACUCUGUUAAUCACAUUGAGAGCCUCAUUUCACUAACGGUUGGCUAACCAAAGGAACAGAAAUAUGAAGAGGUACUUAGAAUUUUUUUUUAUGCUAUGUCAUCCUAUGUUGACCUCUUAUAAUUUGUGUAUGCAUAUUCUGUUUUGUACCAUUUCCCCCCUUUGUUCCCCUAGAUAAAAUAUUGACUCAUAACUUCUUAUGGUUGGUUCUAUUUCCAAUAUAGGUUUCUUGUAAAAAAUGCAUUAUUGUCUUGCAUUGAACCGUGAGUGUUGCCUUAUCAAUGUCAGUUAAUUUAAAUGUGCAGAUGUGGAUUCCAAUGAAUGUGGUUUAUUAGCCAUCUGUAUGUGGAAAAGAAUAAAUGAGGAACCAAAUGAUUGAUACAUUUCUUCAUGUGACUGAGAAAAAAGUAGUCUAGAUUGAAUGAAAUGGCAGAAGUCUUCAGUCUGGAUUGAAUAAAAUGGUCGAACAGGAUUCCUUUUUUAGUUAUCUGCAGUGGUUUCAUUUCAUUAAACAAAAAUAGAAACUAAAAUGGGGAACUGUCUAUAAUCUCUAUGAAUAUAAAAUGACAAUCUAAUGAUGUGAGGGAUUGGUUUCUUUUUGCCCAAUUGGAUGUUGUAUAUUAAAGAUUUACAACUUGCAAAUUUGUUUCGUUUGAUUUAACAGAUACAUUUUAUCAUUUUUUCAUUUGAGUGUUGCUGGAUGUUCUUAUGUUGUUAUUAAAGUUGAAUGUCUUCAGUGGGUGUUGCUGCAAACAAUUAUAGGUUUGUUGCUUUUGUUAUCACAAUUUAUAGUAAAUUUACAUUUGAGGUGUUUUUACGUUGUCUCUAACGUUGAAGGUAUUCAGAGCAUGUGGCCUUAAGUGAUCCUAGGUCUGUUGCUUUUGUUAUGCCAGUGUAAUGUAAGGCUGUUUUACAAUUUUCCCCUGUAAUAUUUUUUCUCAUAAUGCUAAAAUGGGUUGGGGUUGGGUUCUUACCAUGCAUCUGUGAGUCAUACUGGUGUACAGGUAUCCACAGUUUUCUAAAGAAAUCACAAUUCUAUCCAAAAGGCUGGUCAUACAUCAUAACUUCAUGUUUUAUUUUAGUCUGACAAAUGAGAAAAUGAAAUGCUUGACCCUGUAAUAAAUUGGUCUAGCUUCCUCUUACCAACAUCCUUUUACUCAUGUAUGGUUGAAAAUUCUGUAAUGCACUUGGAAGAUCUUUUUACCCCACAGGCCAACUGGUCACGAGGGAUCAUCCUUAAAAGUGAUUUUACUUUAGGCAUGUGCCAUGGUUGCUGCCUUCUUAAAAAAAGGUUGUUAGAAAUGAAUAUGCUUUAGAUGAGUUUGAGUGGCUUAAUGGAUCCAGCAGUUUGUGGCAGCUUAUAGAUAGUGUGCGUGAUCGGAACACCAAACCUUGAAAUUCUCUUGAUUUCUUAGGGCCUACAUGAUAACCAUUCUGUUUCUCUGUUUCUCAAUUUUUUUUUGUUUCUAGGAACCAAAAAAGAGUAGAAAUCAAGGACCAAAGGAUUGUUGGGAAAUAGGUAAAAAGAAACAUCUUUAAGGAACUUCUCUAUCCCAGAAAUAUGAGGGAGAAAUAGUUUAAUGAUCACAUGGCUAAUUUGAUGGGCAAAGAAGUAAUUUCAUGUUAAAAAUAAAACACCAUCAAUGCAACUUCAACCACCAUAUCACACCACUGCUGUCACCACCACCACCACCACCACCACUUCCACCGCCACUGUCACACCACCACCACUGCCACUGUCACAGCACCACCAAUGCCACCACCACCACCUCCAUCGCUAUCGCUACUGCCACCGCUACCUCCACCACCAUCGCCACCGCCACUGCCACCGCCACACCACCACCAUUGCCACCACCACCACUUCUGCUAAAAUUUUGGGUGUUGAAUGACAGUUUUUUAGAUUUAUAGAAGUUCUAUACAUAAAAAUUAAUAUGCGCUUAACAAACACAUUUCUAUUUCUGAGCUCUAUUUCUUUUCUAGCUCAGAAAUAGAAAUUACUACAAGUUAUCAAACGUGUUUUUUUGACCAGAAAUAUGACCUAUAAAGAGAAAUACAAAAAUCAUUUCUGGAUUGAAAUUUAACCUAGAAACAAAAUGGUUAUCAUGUAGGCCCUUAUUGACCUUUUCUUUUUGUAUUUUUAAAAUUUUCUUCUGUAGUUUGUUGUGAAGUUUUGUCUUUAAAUUUAUGGUUAAAUUGAUCAGUUUGCUUAGUGGAUAUCUGGUGUGUGAUCGGAACACCAAACCUCCCUUACUGCACUUUUGAGUCAAGAUACAGUAUGAUGCAGAAAUUAGGCAGUUCCAACAGUGGAAUGAGAAGAAAACAAUUUUUUGAAGUGUCUCAACCACGGUGAUAGAUAGUUGUCCUUAGUCUCUUGAUUGUCUGAGAAACCUAAUUUCAUGUUAAAAAUAAAACACCACCAAUGCAACUUCAACCACUAUACCACGCCACUGCCGCCACCACCACCACCACCACCUCCACCUCCACCGCCACUGUCACACCAUCACUACUACCACUGUCACAGCACCACCAAUGCCACCACCACCACCUCCAUUGGUACCGCUAUUGCCAUUGCUACCUCCACCUCCACCACCACCACCAUAGCCAUCGCCAUCGCCAUCGCCAUCGCCAUCGCCAUCGCCACCGCCACCGCCACCGCCACCGCCACCGCCACCGCCACCGCCACUGCCACUGCCAUUGCCACCACCCCACCACCACCAUUGCCACCACCACCACUACUGCCAAAAUUUUGGUUGUUGAAUGACAUUUUUUAGAUUUAUGUAAUUUCUAUACAUAGAAAUUAAUAUGCGCUUAACAAACGUAUUUCUAUUUCUUUUCAAGCCUAGAAAUAGAGAAAUAGAAAUUACUACAAGUUAUCAAACAUGUUUUUUUACCAAAAAUAUGGCCCGUAAAGAGAAAUACAAAAAUCAUUUCUGGAUAGAAAUUUAGCCCAGAAAAAAAAUGACUACACGUUAUCAUGGAGGCCCUUAUUGACCUUUUCUUUUUGUAUUUUGAAGUUUUCUUCUGUAGUUGGUUGUGAAGUUUCCUCUUUAAAUUUAUGGUUAAACUGAUCAGUCUGCUUAGUGGAUGUAUGGUGUGUGAUCGGAAUACCGAACCUCCCUUACUGCACCUUGAGUCAAGAUACAGUAAUGAUGCAGAAAUUAGGCAGUUCCAACAGUGGAAUGAGAAAAAAAAACAGUUUUUUGAAGUGUCACCACCACGGUGACAGAGUUGUCCUCAGUCUCCUGACUGUCUGAGAAGUCUAUAUUUCUUCUUUGCUUCUACAAGUUUGACCUUUUUUAUUUGCACAUGGAGUAUUGUAACGAUUGUCUGGUUAUUCGAUAUAACCACUCUCAUCACUAGGCCUACUAGGCCUUUAGGAAAUUGCUUUAGUGCAGCACAGCGAGCCAGGGAAGAUGCAGCAGAAGUUGGUAUGGUCAAGUAAAUAGAUGACUGAGCUAUAAACAGAACUUGGUGGAACCUUUGGAACUUGCAUACAUAACGGUAGUGUCGUUGAGACUGGUUUGGCAAGCAAAGUGUACCCUUAGGUUGAUUGAGGAAAAAUCAAAUCGGUUAUAAAUUGCAUUUUUCUA